rnacentral:sRNA from 1 species
UAACUAUAUUGAAGCGUCUUGUGGGAACCCUCCUAUCAGCCACAGGGAAGCUGGUCAGAGCUAGACCUCGUGCCUGGGGAAUGGGGAUCAUGGGUGCUGGCAUUGUGGGUAGGGUGCCUUUGCCUCCCUCUCACAGGCCUGCCUGUGCUACUGACCAACGUGGAGCUGGGUCUAGGGUGCCAAGAACUGCAAUGGCUGCUGCAGCGGGAGCAGCUGAGUCCACCCCAGGUGCAGCCUGGCUUCUGUCUAUAUCUCAGCACCACCCUCUCCCUCUGUGCCAUGGAAAAAGUGCUAGGUUGUGAACUGCUAAAGGGGCUGAAUGUGCUGGAUCUGGGCCUGAACAUGGAAAUACUGGAAGAACAGAUGCUGCAUGAAAUCUUGUGCAGAGAAUGUCCUGAGCUCGAGACCCGCUGGCAGGACCUAAAGAUCAGAGCCCUAGAUACCUGCAAGGCUGUGGAGGCUGCUGAGGAGCGGCUGCUGACGAUGCUGCUGUUCCAGAAUCCAAAGCAUCAGAAGCCAGCCAAGUUUCUGCGGAACAUGGUGAGGGCCCAGGGAAAGCUAUGCCAGCUGCGUGCUCAUUGUGAAGAGCUAGAAGGGCAGAAACUACAGGAGAUGGUAUCGUGGGCACCCUAUCGGCCUGUGGUUUGGCAUGGAAUGGCCAUGGUAAAGGCCCUAAGCCAACUGCAGAACCUGCUACCACUUUUCUGUAUGAGCCCAGAGAAUUGGCUGGCAGUCACCAAGCAGGCUCUGGACAGCAUGAAGCCACGUGAGAUUAAUCACGGGGAGGACCUGGCCAGCCAUCUACUGCAACUGAGAGCACACCUGACCCGCCAGCUGCUGGGCAGCACCGUGACUGCGCUGGGCCUUACCCAAGUACCCUUGGUGGGUGCAUUGGGCGCUUUGGCUCUGCUGCAAGCGAUAGGGAAAGCAUCAGAGCUGGAAAGAUUGGCACUCUGGCCUGGACUAGCAGCCUCUCCCAGCACAGUCCACAGCAAGCCAGUCUCAGAUGUGGCUCGACCGGCCUGGCUUGGGCCAAAAGCCUGGCGUGAAUGUGAGAUGUUAGAGCUGCUGCCCCCAUUUGUUGGCCUGUGCGCCUCCCUGGCAGGCCACCCCAGUGCUUGGCAGGCUUACCUGUCACUAUCAUCCACAGUGCUGGGUCCUGCACCUGGGCCUGGGCCUGAGCCACUCAGCCUCCUCCAGAAGCUGAUCCUGUGGCGCGUUCUGCGACCUGAGUGCCUGGCAGGUGCCCUGGCAGACUUCACCACUAGCCUCCUGGGUCGGCCCCUGGAUGAAAACAUGUGCGCUCCCACCAUGCCCUUUAAACACAGUCAGGCUACUCAGCCCAUGCUGAUCUUGUUGCCACCGCCUGGCCACCCCUCAGCCACUCUGCAUCCUCUGACUGUCAUCCAGAAACUGGCUGCCAAGUAUCAGCAGGGGCAGAAGCAACUGCAGGUGAUAGCCCUGGGCUCUGAAGCCUGGGACCCAGUCUCAGUUGUGGUCAGCACUCUAUCCCAGGCUAUGUAUGAGGGGCACUGGCUGGUGCUGGACAACUGUCAUCUGAUGCCCCAUUGGCCAAAAGAGCUGCUACAGCUCUUGCUGGAACUGUUAGGCAGAGCCAAGGUGUUUGCAGACCUGGAAUCAGAACAGCUUUUAGACCAACCUGAAAGCAGGAAUGUAAGCACUGUUCACAGAGAUUUUCGUCUUUGGCUUAUUGUGCCUGCAGAGUCUAGUGCUUCUUUGCCAGCUGUGCUGACUCAGCACUCCAUGCCUAUUUUCUGGAACCAGUCCCUGGAGCUGGGCCAUGUUUUGAUUGACGGUGUGGAGCUAGCCCAGCAAGUACUCUACAUGCAACCCCCCACCCAGGCACUACCUCUGCUCCUCCUCCAUGGCCUCCUGCUACACCGGCAGCUCUAUGGAACAAGGCUGCAGGCACACAGGGGGCGCUGGAGUCAAGUGACUCUAACCCAGGUUCUUCAGACCCAAGAUCAGCUGUGGGCAAGUCUUAGCAAUCCCUGUGCUGCCAUGCAAGAGCUGGCUGCUUCAGUUUUCUACGGGGGUCCUCUGGGGGACACUGAGGACAGGGAGGCCCUGAUUAGCCUCACACAAGCCUGCCUGAGCCCCAGUAGCGGCAGCUGGGUCCAGCCACACACACCCCAGUCUUUGCUGGCCACACUCAUGCCCCUCCCAGAGCUAAGGGAGCUGGAUGCAAUGGCAGAGUGCAAGGCCCAGAUGCACCUACUGCCCUCACCACCUGAACCCCGGCUCUGCGGACUGAGUGAGGGCCCCCAAGCCUGGCUGUUGCGACGCCAGAGUCGCGCUCUCUUGAGUGCGCUGCAGCGGAGUUCACCCGUGUGGGUUCCUGAGUCUCGAAGAGGCGCCCAGCUCGCGGAAAGGCGACUGCGGCAACGCCUAGUGCAAGUCAACCGGAGGCUGGCGUCACUGCAGGAUCUGCUGACCCACGUGGUUCGCCAAGACGAGUCUGGCGCCCCGUGGUCAGUGCUGGGGCCGAAUGAGCGGCGGCCUCUGGAGGGCGUCUUAGAGACCGAGGCUUUAGAACUGAGCCAGUUGGUGGGCACGCUACAACGCGACCUUGAUUGCCUGUUGCAGCAGCUGAAGGGCGCACCCCCGUGCCCCUCCCGCCGCUGUGCUGCGGUGGCCCACGCUCUCUGGACUGGCCGCCUACCCUUGCCUUGGCGACCUCAUGCGCCGGCCGGUCCGCAGCCGCCCUGGCACUGGCUGCGACAGUUGUCGCGCCGUGGGCAACUGUUGGUUCGUUACUUGGGCGUGGGUGCGGACGCGAGCAGUGAUGUACCAGAGCGCGUCUUCCACCUGUCAGCCUUUCGCCACCCGCGCCGCCUGCUGCUGGCCUUGCGUGAGGAAGCUGCCCUGGACCAGAAUAUGCCUAGCUCGAAUUUCCCUGGUAGCCGAGGCUCGGUCUCCAGUCAGCUCCAGUAUAAACGUCUGGAGAUGAACAGCAACCCUCUGCACCUCAGGGUGGAGAAUGGUCCAAACCCCAUGGUUCCAGAGAGAGGGCUGCUGCUGAUCGGGCUACAGGUCCUACAUGCGGAGUGGGACCCAAUAGCUGGAGCCUUGCAGGACGGUCCUUCCAGCCAACCCAGCCCUCUGCCUCCCAUCAGCAUCAGCACACAGGCCCCGGGCACCAGUGACCUGCCACCCCCAGCCGACCUGACUGUGUACUCCUGUCCUGUGUACAUGGGAGGGCCCCUUGGCACCGCUAAGCUGCAGAGCAGGAACAUCGUGAUGCAUCUGCCCUUACCCACCAAGCUCACCCCCAACACCUGUGUCCAAAGGAGGGUCCACGUGUGCAGCCCACCCCUGUCUUGAGCACAUCUACCAAAAUAAAGCUGUAGUGAUUCC